rnacentral:lncRNA from 1 species
UCAGGAUUUGUGUGCCAAGAUCCUGCCCAGCGGGCAUCAACUCGGCCAAUUUAUCCCACCUUUGAGUCUUCCAGGCGAAACCCUUUCCAGAAACCUCAGCGUCCAGUAUCUGCACAGUUUCACUCGUCAAAGGCCAAGCAGCGUUGCCGUCCACUCUCUGCCAGUGAUGCGGAAAUGAAAAACCUCGUGGGCUCAGCCCGGGAGAAAGGGCCAGGGAAGUUGGUUGGUUCUGUGCUUGGUCUGUCAAUGGAGGAGAUCAAAGUUUUACGAAGGGUGAAGGAGGAGAAUGAUCGGCGAGGUGGAUUUAUUCGCAUAUUUCCUACAUCUGAGACAUGGGAAAUAUAUGGGUGAGGUCCUACCUCGAGCAUAAGACCUCAAUGAACUAUAUGCUGGCAACACGCCUCUUCCAGGACAGGGGAAACCCAAGAAGAAGCUUAUUGACAGGAAGAACACGAAUGACUGCUGAUGGAGCGCCAGAAUUGAAGAUAGAGAGUCUGAAUUCAAAGGCCAAGCUGCAUGCUGCACUUUACGAGAGGAAGCUCCUGUCUCUGGAGGUGCGAAAACGUAGACGACGGAGUAGCAGAUUGAGGGCAAUGAGGCCAAAAUACCCAGUGAUUACCCAACCAGCUGAAAUGAAUGUUAAAACUGAGACAGAGAGUGA